rnacentral:rRNA from 1 species
UCCAGACUCCUACGGGAGGCAGCAGUGAGGAAUAUUGGUCAAUGGGCGGGAGCCUGAACCAGCCAUGCCGCGUGAAGGCGAGUGCCCUACGGGCGUUAAACUUCUUUUGUGCGGGAGCAAUAAGGGCCACGUGUGGCCCGAUGAGAGUACCGCACGAAUAAGCAUCGGCUAACUCCGUGCCAGCAGCCGCGGUAAUACGGGGGAUGCGAGCGUUAUCCGGAUUUAUUGGGUUUAAAGGGUGCGUAGGCUGUGAGGUAAGUCAGCGGUGAAAUGCCCCCGCUCAACGGGGUGAAGUGCCAUUGAUACUGCCUUGCUGGAAUGCGGAUGCCGUGGGAGGAAUGUGUGGUGUAGCGGUGAAAUGCAUAGAUAUCACACAGAACACCGAUUGCGAAGGCAUCUCACGAAUCCGCGAUUGACGCUGAUGCACGAAAGCGUGGGUAUCAAACAGGAUUAGAUACCCGUGUA